AUGAACUGAAUGAAAUUAUUAUGAGCAAUUAUGCAAACAGCUCUGGAGUAUAGAAAACAAUAUUUUGAAUGUCUCUGCUAGGAAGGAGGUGAUUUUUAUGGAAAAGGGCAUCGUUUAGCUUUCAAAAUUCAAAAACAGUGUUUUUCAUUAUGUAAGUAACAUUCAGCCCACCAUUGAAAGUCUGUGAACUAGGGCACAAACAUGCGGAGAGUUCACGGCGGUGACCAGCAGGGCCGGGCAUCCCGCAGGUCCGCCAGGGUUCCCUCCUGCCCUCCCGCCCCAGGCAAAUGUGCGUCUGUGUGGUGGGGGUCAUACUGUCUCAAGAGGUUUCUUGUUUUGUUGCUUUUCCCUUUGUUAUGAAUAGUCUUCAUAAAUAUCAUUUCCUCUUUAGUGUUCCUUUGUUGAAAAUAGCUUUACUGUGUACAUAACAUUAAUUUAUGCUCAUUAAUAACUUUUACUGAGUCUCUUUUAGGUACCAGGCAUUUUCCAUGGUCUCUCUGUUUUUAUUCUCAAAACAAGUACAUGGCAAAUACCAUCCGACGAGGAAAUUGGUCUCAGGACCACUCAUGAGCUUGUCCAGACUGUCCAGUUUGCCAGGUGGCAGGGUUCUGAAGACUGUCCUCUUUCUACCUUGCUAUGUUGUCAUGUUUUGCUUAUUUCACCUGAUCAUCUGUGGAUCCAGGAGUUAUGAACUGUGGGGAACAUCCCUUUGCAUCUUGUUCUGUGGAAAAGAAUAUGUCAGAGACUCAGGAUCUGGCCCUGUAUUUUAUGUUAUAGUGUAAAUGGUUUUCUACAACUCAGCAAAGGGGAACACGCCUUUUUUCUUUAAGUGUAUGAAUAUUGGUGUUUGGCUUCAAUUUAUGUUUUCAAAUUUAGUUCACAUUCCAAUCAUUUUUUUGCAGAGGAAAAAGCCAUAGUUUUUAGGUUUGGGUUCAUCACUGGUUAACUAUCCCAUUUGAAAUCCACAUAGUCAGCUACAUACUUGAAACCCCUUCCAUGGACACCCAACCCUUUUGGAAGGAUGGAAAGCACACUAAGAAAAAUCCAGCUGUCCUUAAAGAAACAUUCAAAGACUACUAAUGGGCACCGUCAAAUGGAUCUCAUUGUACCUUUUCACUGAGAACUGAUUCAAAAUGUAGCAUUCUCUCAAUGUUGGGGUAUGCUUAGAAACACUAAGAAUUCUUCAUUGUCCUUUCACUGUGUAUAUAACCUAUUGAGGUAAACCAUGCCAUCCUAAACAGCCUCAAACAUCAGUUCAGUUCAGUUCAGUCUCUCAGUCGUGUCCGACUCUUUGCG
rnacentral:lncRNA from 1 species